ensembl:lncRNA
AUGUACAGGAACAAAUAUACUCUUAAUAUGUACAGGAGUCAGUACUAUCCCCAGCUUCGGGCAUCUCCUGGGGAUCUUGAAACAUAUACCCUAUGGAUAAGGGGGAACCACUGUAUCUCUUGGAUGAAACGGAUGUUUAAUAAAUGUCUUCAAAUACUAAUUAAAUUCAGUCUGCCCAGAUUUGGUUGUUCUGGCAACCUGGAUGAACUGGUCUACAUAAAAAUGAGGACAUUAUGGUCAACCUCUCCAUGUGGGCUGUGUUCCAGUUACACACUUUAGCUUUUUCACCCAGUUGUAAGAAUCUAGAUCAAAUAAUUCCCUGUAUUUUCCACAGGGAGUCUUAUUUCCUGUUAGUGUCAAGUAAUUUAAUAUCACUACAUUUUUAUUAAUUAGCUGAAGAUUUUAAGAUAGCAAGAUCUUAAGACAUUAAUCCUCUCAAGAUAUCAAUAUUUCCUAAACCCUGAUGGCAAAUAUUAGGCUUCCUCUCUAGUGCAAGAUUUGAGUGCAUGAUUUCAUGCAAAACUUUUUUAUAACAGAAAUUNNNNNAAAAAAACCUGUUGUGAUUAUCCAUCUUUAGAAUUGAAAUAUCUUUGGUUCUUGAUGUGACCUUCAUUUCAGGCUGGGCUGAAUUUCUGCUAGGGAGAAGGAUGUGAAUGCGAAAGUCCUAUUUUCAGGAAUAAAUAGCAGCAUCUUUUCUAUUCUCUUAAACACAAGAUAAAAUAUAGUUUGUGGCAGGUGUAGAGCUCUCUCUUCACAGUACAAGGAAAGCUAGAGAAAAAUCAUUUCCACAUUAGAAUUGAGAUGAUUCAUCAUUUUUUUCUCCCAUGAAUCUCAUAGAAAUACUUUUGCCCUGAAUAUCUUCUCUAAGCAAAGUUGCAAGGUUUGUAACUACUAAGAGUCUUGGAAAAGACACACAUUUAUUCUGAAAAUUAGAAACAUAUAUUCAUCCAUUCACAUGCCCUGAAAGAAGAAAAUUUGCACAUUAUCUCUACUUCAUUGUCCUUAGUGUGGAAGUCUUUUCUUUUUUUAAACCCAGCAAAUAAAAUUGAGUGGAAAGGCAAAAAUGUGAAUUUGAAAGGACAUUUGGUUUUAGAACUUCACUCGAAUUCUUUAAAAACACAGAUAUUGACGUAUAUUCAAUAAAACAGUGUGUUCUUUCCAAUUACUUUUAUUUGCUAAUUCAAUAAUUUAGCAAUUAUAUUUGCAUAAAAUAGAGGAAAAGCAAAGUGAUCUCUUUUAUUAUGGGUGAUGCUGAAGGAAACAAAUUAAUACAUCACUACUUAGGUCUGCAGGGGUUCUUUUAGCAAAUAAAGAUUGUCUCCCAUAAAAAAGAAACAAAAGGGAAAUUAAGAUAUCCAAUCAGAUCCACAAACCAGAGGCACAUGUGAAUAAUGAUUACGAAUGGUGUUAUUUUUUUGAUUGCUCUUCCAACCAUCUUACUGUAUUUAAUAAAUCUGGACACCUCAUUUUGUUUUCCUGAUACUUCUACCAUGUACAAACCAACUUAUUUGUUGGGACCACCCGGUCUUAAUUCACCAACAUCUACUAAUAUCCAAUUUUUACCACUGUAUGAGUCCUUCAAAUUGCAGCAAUACUUGGGCCCAUCCAUGUAUGUGAUCUUGAAGGCUUGUAAACACAUCAAAAGGUAUCAAGGCUAAAACAAGAAAAAAGGAAUAGCAGAGCUUGCUGCUUCCCAAGCCUAGUAACCCUGAAGAUACAAUCCUGACUUGACCUGGUGAUUUUGACACCAGGUCAGCAUAUUCCUAGAUAGCAUAUUAAAAAGCAAAGGC